CGGCGUGCUUAACACAUGCAAGUCGAACGAGACGAUUUAGAAGCUUGCUUUAUUGAGUCGAGUGGCAAACGGGUGAGUAACGCGUAGACAACCUGCCGCAAAGAUGGGGACAACAGUCCGAAAGGACUGCUAAUACCGAAUGUUGUAUCUCCUCCGCAUGGAAGAGAUAUUAAAGAUGGCCUCUACUUGUAAGCUAUCGCUUUGCGAUGGGUCUGCGUCUGAUUAGCUAGUUGGUGGGGCAACGGCCUACCAAGGCGACGAUCAGUAGCCGGUCUGAGAGGAUGAACGGCCACAUUGGGACUGAGACACGGCCCAAACUCCUACGGGAGGCAGCAGUGGGGAAUCUUCCGCAAUGGGCGAAAGCCUGACGGAGCAACGCCGCGUGAGUGAAGAAGGUCUUCGGAUCGUAAAGCUCUGUUGUCGGGGACGAAUGUUGAGGCCUAGAACAUAAGUUUCAAAUGACGGUACCUGACGAGGAAGCCACGGCUAACUACGUG
rnacentral:rRNA from 1 species